GAUGAACGCUGACGGCGUGCCUAAUACAUGCCAGUCGAGCGAACAGACGAGGAGCUUGCUCCUCUGACGUUAGCGGCGGACGGGUGAGUAACACGUGGAUAACCUACCUAUAAGACUGGGAUAACUUCGGGAAACCGGAGCUAAUACCGGAUAAUAUAUUGAACCGCAUGGUUCAAUAGUGAAAGACGGUUUUGCUGUCACUUAUAGAUGGAUCCGCGCCGCAUUAGCUAGUUGGUAAGGUAACGGCUUACCAAGGCAACGAUGCGUAGCCGACCUGAGAGAGUGAUCGGCCACACUGGAACUGAGACACGGUCCAGACUCCUACGGGAGGCAGCAGUAGGGAAUCUUCCGCAAUGGGCGAAAACUUGACGGAGCAACGCCGCGUGAGUGAUGAAGGUCUUCGGAUCGUAAAACUCUGUUAUUAGGGAAGAACAAAUGUGUAAGUAACUAUGCACGUCUUGACGGUACCUAAUCAGAAAGCCACGGCUAACUACGUG
rnacentral:rRNA from 1 species